rnacentral:rRNA from 1 species
GAUGAACGCUGGCGGCGUGCCUAAUACAUGCAAGUCGGGCGAACGGACGAGAAGCUUGCUUCUCUGAUGUUAGCGGCGGACGGGUGAGUAACACGUGGAUAACCUACCUAUAAGACUGGGAUAACUUCGGGAAACCGGAGCUAAUACCGGAUAAUAUUUUGAACCGCAUGGUUCAAAAGUGAAAGACGGUCUUGCUGUCACUUAUAGAUGGAUCCGCGCUGCAUUAGCUAGUUGGUAAGGUAACGGCUUACCAAGGCAACGAUGCAUAGCCGACCUGAGAGGGUGAUCGGCCACACUGGAACUGAGACACGGUCCAGACUCCUACGGGAGGCAGCAGUAGGGAAUCUUCCGCAAUGGGCGAAAGCCUGACGGAGCAACGCCGCGUGAGUGAUGAAGGUCUUCGGAUCGUAAAACUCUGUUAUUAGGGAAGAACAUAUGUGUAAGUAACUGUGCACAUCCUGACGGUACCUAAUCAGAAAGCCACGGCUAACUACGUG